UAAAAAGAAUGACAAUAUUUGUCUUUUGUGUCUGGGAAUUCAAUUUUAAAAAUUUUGAGCAACUGCCAAGCUCCUUUCAGUAGCAGCUUUGACACACAGCAGAAGCAGCAGCAAUGCACGAUGGUCCUAGGGUUCUUGUAUUUGAUUUUAACUUUUUUCUGUUUGGGGUUUUCUUGUAGCUGUCUUAGUAAGUAUGAAAUAAUCUGUGGCUUUUACUUGAAUUCACUUGCAGGAACACCACCCAAGAACAAGAUAGCAAAUUCUUAGAAAUGCCUUGAAAAUGAAACCAAAUGGUGUUUUCAACAUUCCCAAUGGCUCUUCUAACAAGGUCAAAAUAUCAUUCCCAUGUAUCAGGAACUAUGGGGAUGGCUUAUGCGGCUGGGGCCUUUUCUUCUGUGAUACAGAAAGGCCGUUGAUUGUUUCAUCCUAGUUAAUAUAACAUGAAACUUUAAUGAGAUGCCAGUACAAAGUCAAUUCCCCAACGUUUUUGGAAGUUUACAGUGUGAAGUGAUGAAGAUAUGGAAGUAAUAGCAAUGGGAGAGUGGCUAAGACAACUUUUUAAGACCUCAAAAACAGUCUCUCUAAAAAAGGAUUGCAAUGAAUGAUCAGUGAACUGGAAUUGAUCAAUUGCUUUCAGAAGACUAAUGGUUAACACUGUGAUCAUCUCUGGUUAGCACUACAAUAACAUAUAGCCAGCAAUAUAAAUGGAGAGGUAUUUGUGCUGUGAGAAAGACACACUGAUUUUGAACUAAGAAUAAUUUUUAUAAAAGUAUUUUUGUAUUUAAAAAAAUGUUAAUAACGUUUUUCCAAAUAAGAUACCCAAUCUAGGUUUGAAGGAAAAAAUAAAAUGUAUUUUUCUUUCCUCCCUGGUCUCAGGGAAGUGGGAAACAAGACAUCUAACUUAGGAUGGGGGUAGACAGUUGAAGGAAGUGGGUAAGAAGAAAGCCAACCUCCCGGUUGCUGCGGGAGAAAAUGUGGCAAAUCAAUAGUUCAACAGAGAAAGAGGAGGGUCACUGACCAGAGCAAAGGCAUUCUUAGGAGUGACAUGAUGGGCUUCCCAUUUCCCGUAUCUCCUCUGUCAUCCUCUGACCACCUAUAAGCAAUGUUGGCUGGAAACACCAUCAGUGACCAAGUCUUGACAUGUAGGAGAUGAUGCAGAUAGAUAGGAAAAGUGACCAUGUCAAAUGAUAUGCCAUCAAACACCUCUCUGGUUCCUUAUGAUAGGCAGGCGGCAUUGCCUGAUGCGAUAACAUGCUUAAAAAAUACCCAGAAAUGAGUGGGAAGUGGUACACAGGAGAAGCUGGUGAGGACAAACCCACCCACAAAUAUGUGUGCUAUUUGGCCACAGGAUUGUGAAGUUCACAGAGAAUGCAGAAAACCAUGAUUAUUUUUUUAAAUGCAGACUUUUUAGCAAUGUAAAUAACAGUAAGGAAAGUUGAAGAGAAUUUGAAGCUACUAAUUCCAGAAAAUGAAUUUGAUAUUUACUCCCUUGUCGGUACACAAAGCACAGCUGAUUCAAGGUAAAGCUGCAUCUUUCAAGAAUAUUGUGGAUAUGUUCCAAUACAAAGAUGCUUCCAUCAUUCAGGAGACACGCUUGUAUUGAGGACUGAAACAGGCUUUUGUUGACUGCAUUUUCCUUGGAUGCUAUCAGAGGUGGAAAGCUUGGACACUGGCAAAUACCUACCUUACAAAUGAUAAACAUUGUUCGUGGUAUAGGAAACAUAAAGUCAGGCUAACACUUGUGCCAUUAGUCACCAGCACAUGCUCCAAUGAAACUACAAGGAAUUUUUGUUAAUCAAUGAGUGGGUGCCAGCAAGUGGGACACUUUGUAGGAGUUCAUUCUCAGGAGAACUUCCAAGAGUGGAAGAUGCCUGGCUCUCCAAGAGUUGCCACAUUUACCAUUCAGCUUAAGAGUUCAGUUCAGCUCUACUCAUCCAUUCCUCAGAAAUGUUUUAAGCACUCUCUUCCAGACAAGACUGGGUGUAACCGGAUUUCAGAGCAGUGAGAAGACCUCUGUGCCUCUGCAGGAAUUUGCAUCGAGAGGAGACAAUACUACAAGUUGGCAUUUUCUGUUAAUCUGCUAUGUGAUAGGUUUUGCUUGGUGUGCUAACCCAAAGUCAGAAAAGGACUAAAUUCUCUCUGGGAGAAGAAAAGGGAAUAUUAAUAUGAGUGCUGAAAUACAAGAAGAAUUUAAUCAGGCAGAAAAGAGAACAAGUACAUUCAGAUGGCAGAAGCAUUGUAUAUGUAUGUUCCUGUGUGUAUGACCUUGCAGCAGAGUGGUGGAAGCCAGAGAUGAAUAUUGGCUGUUUCCUUCAAUCUCCUUACCUUAUUUAUUCAGAUAAAGUUUCUUACUGAACCUAGAACGUGAUGAUUUGAGUAGACUGGCUGACCAACAAGCUCUAGGUAUCCUUCAGUUUCAAUCUCCUAGUGCUAAGGCUACAGUUGAUUGUGUCGACUCUACAAUUCAUUUCACCAGUGUGGACUCGGUCUCCAGGUUUUAAUCCACACCCUGUCACUCAUUUCCUCGACGACCUUGGGUAUUCAUGCCCAUGCAUGUGCAGAGGACAGAAGAAGAAACCUGGGUUUCUACUUUGACAGCCUUGGUCUUAUUCUUUGAGGCAGAGUCAUUUGUGGAACCCGUAGAUACUCUGAUGGCCUGAGGACUCCUGUCUUUAGUCCUCCAUUACUCAGUAGAUGAAUCAAGAUGCGCAAAAGGAAGAGUUACUUCAAGAUCAGAGAGUUCAUGAAGCUAAGCCUCAAAUCUUCUGGGAAUGAGUGUAGGGGAGCACCUGGCUGGACAACAGGAGACCUUACCUAGAGAUAGCACUUGCUGCAUAGGAACACAGCUGCUAUGUUUCUAAAACUCCAAAAGAAUCCUCAUGUAGGAUUUUAAUGUGAAAUGUCCCAUUUCAAACAUUAGCUUAAAAGUAUCAAUGUUGUCAAUAAACUGUGUCUGUGGACCGUGAGCAUCUGGAAAAAAUGAAAGUUCCAGCUGUGAUUUUCUAUCUAAUUUAUCACAUGAUAGGUUCUCUCUUAAAGCCUGGGCUCUCCUCUGCUUGUUGUACUUCUUACGACAUGGUCUAGCCCCUACUCAACUCAUGCCUUCCCUAUCUGGUCCCUCCUACCCCUUAGGCUCUGUUUCCUUGCCUGUGCACAGAGGAAAGGGUUUUGUAACUGAUGCAUGGAAAUUACUUAAUUAAAGCCUCUCAUUUCUGGAUGUUGCCUUCCUUUAGAUAAAAACUCAGAUACCUCAACAAAGAGUGUUGACUUUUUGUUCUUCCUGCUUGUUGUGUAACAAACAGGUCCAUGUCAGUUCAGUGUUCAAAAGUAAUAGAGUUUCCAGAGUCCAUUUAUGUCUGCAAGCUAGAAUUUUGUUUCUGGAAGGUUUGCCUAUACUAACUGAAUAAGCAGUACUUUUUCUUAUUCUAAUAUCCUUAAUGAGAUUUAUAGACUCUUUACAGUGUUUUAUGCUGAUUAGGGACUUAGAAUACAUCACACACUAAUAAAAUAUCCCCACUACCCAACUUGUGCUUUUGCAUGCUUUAUUUCAGUGAAUAAUGGGUCUUAAAUAAUGUUGGGAACAUGUUAUCUAGGAUGUUCCCAAGAAAUAUGGAAUGAAGAUCCAUCAGGAAACAUUAAUAAAGAUAUAAACACACAGAGCUGGUGACCAAGGAAAUCUGAUUCAUUGGGCUGUAAACUCUUAAAGAAUCUGGGUUGUGAAUGGUUCCCACAAAAAACAAAAUGGAUCUCAAAAACAACAAUUUAUUCAUUUUCAUUUUUGAAUUUGCUUUCUAUGAGUUUUAGCUUGUGCAAAUGUUUUAAAAUUGAAGGUAAUCAUUGUGCCAUGUUCUCAAUCCCAGCAUAAAGACAUUUACUCCACGUAGCUUCCUUUGCACAUGACAACCAUUUUCAUGGUUAUAGCUAAUUAGCUUCCUUUCGGCAUUAGAUACAGCGGAUAUUUAAGCAACGUAAACUAGCUGUCAUCCAGCAGCAUCAUAAUCAAAAUGGCAUAAAAUUCGCCAUAAAACCUGCAGCUAAUAACAUUUAUAAGACACCUUAUCACAUAAGGAUACUGGAAAAGCUCAGACACUGUAUAUCACAAAGCAUCCCCAGGGAAGCAGCUCAGCUUCCUAAUGACAGUGUGUGAGUUUACUCUGGGAGCUUUUAUGCACCUGCCUAAGCCAGGGUCAUCCCAGUCAAAGAGACAAAGCCUAGGUUCCAACGCAUCAACAGUCUGGCCACUUUUUUUCCUGACCAGCCCAGGCAUCUCCCAGUUUAAAGUCACAUCAAUGCUGGCUCUGGAUUCAAAUUAAUGUUUUAGAUGAAUGUGCAUAUACCCUGUUCUCCACCUGAAAAACUUGAAUCCUUUACAUCUAUGUCCUAUUCCUCUAUACUUGUGCUCAUUCUUCUAAAUUCACAUCAUCUUGGGUCUUCUCUUGGGAUUGAAUUAUUGAUGAUUCUGACUCAAGUCAGACAUUAUUUUUAAGCUUGUAUUAUUUUCAUGAACUCUGUGUAGUUAUUACUCAUCCUGGCCAUCUUCUUUUGUUUUAAAAUCGGUACCUUAGACGAUCAGUGCUAUGCCAUCACCAAAAAUAUUGAUAAUCCUGUGGGAAAAUGUGCUUUUCCUCUCAGCAAGUAUGGAAGAGUCAGCCAUGUAGGCUGACUAUGUUUCCACCCACAGCUCAAUGUAUUCAUGGGGUUCCUGGAUUCAUAACUCACAGAGGUGGGGCCUGUUCCUAUUGCCUUGUGUGGACCUUUUUAAAAAAGUCUAAAAUUUGACUACAAUUGAAUUCAAUACAAUAUCCAAUGCUCAGUUUAUUAUGUCUUCCAUUACUGACCAAGCUAAUUAUCUUCAGCUUCUUGACACUUGAAGUCGAGCACCUUUCUCGUGACGAAUGUUUCAAGCUUUAUUUUAUAAUAACGGUAUGAGCUUCCUAUGCAAUAGCUGGGUUAGACGUGGCUGUUUUCCUGGAAUCUUUCUUCUGGUAGGAUCCGGAUCAAGAUUCCUGCCUUCAUUCAUGCUUGUAGUAUGAAUCUUAAAUGGUCUUAUUAAUAACAAUAAACCUGGAGCUGGGUAUUGGAGUGAAUGCUGGAAGAUCAGAGAGACAGAACAAGCCACAGCUAACCUCACCUGGCCAACUUCUCAGCCGAUCCUGGUUCCUCAGACUGGAAGCCUCUGAGUCCUCAUCCAAAUAGAUCUCAGCUGAACUAUAGCGCAAAAGCCUAAAAGCUUAACCAGGCUCUAGUUCCUCGUCCUCACGCCUUACAUACCUUUCUGCUUCUUGCCAUCACUUCCUGGGAUUAAAGGCUCUUGUUACCACACCUGGCUGUUUCCAGUGUGGCCUUGAACUCACAGAGAUCCAGGAGGAUCUCUGCCUCUGGAAUACUAGGAUUAAAGGUGUGAGUGCCACCAUUUUCUGGCCUCUAUGUCUGUCUAGUGGCUGUUCUGUUCUCUGACCCCAGAUAAAUUUAUUAGGGUGCACGAUAUAUUGGGGAACACAAUAUCACUACACAUGCUCUUUGGUUUGACGCACUCCAUUUCCUCUACUCAUUCCCAGAUUUUUAUUGUGCCUCUGCAGACAGCUACUUGAUUUUUCCAUAUAACAAUAUAAUUGUAAAGAUUAUAUUAUGUUAUACAGUAUAUAUAAGAUAUGUGAAGUAUUAAGUAAUAUGACAGUUUAUGCCCAAAUUGUUCUAUAAAAUACUAUAAACUGAUGCUUAGAGAGAAACAAAAGUAAUUCAGAAAAAUUGAUUAGUGAUGUUAUAGAUUGUAGAAUGUAUAGUAUAGAGCAGUGGGAAAGCAUCACACCUUUUAUUCCGUCUUCAUUAAGGGGUCUGCUUGUGUGCUCGUGGUUAAGCAUUAUUGUAUUGAAAGAUAUGAAUAAGAUUGGAAGGAGACUGCAUUAAAGCAUGGCAAGCAGGUA